rnacentral:misc_RNA from 1 species
AAGUCGUAACAAGGUUUCCGUAGGUGAACCUGCGGAAGGAUCAUCAUUGAACCUCUAAAUAUCAUAUCACACCAUACCCUUCUCCUCUGUGUGAACGGUUGCCGGGAGAGAGAAGAGCUCGCUCCUCUCUCGCUCGGCCGAGGGCCGGGGGAGCGCCUUGCGUGCUCGCCCGCCUUCAUUUUUCCCGUCCUUUUCGGAAAAAGACUCCUUUUUCUCGAUAAAGACAACCUUUAUUGCUUCUGAUCUCUUGAACAUAACCAAAGAGUCUCCUAACCGAGUACUCUAUUUAACCAAAAGACAACUUUUAACAACGGAUCUCUUGGCUCUC